rnacentral:rRNA from 1 species
GAGGAAAGAGGGAGGAGGGAAGAAUACAUGAAAGUCGAGCGAACAGAUGAGGAGCUUGAUUUUAUGAAGUUAGAGGAGGAAGGGUGAGUAAAACGUGGAUAAAAUAUAUAUAAGAAUGGGAUAAUUUAGGGAAAACGGAGCUAAUACCGGAUAAUAUAUUGAACCGCAUGGUUCAAUAGUGAAAGACGGUUUUGCUGUCACUUAUAGAUGGAUCCGCGCCGCAUUAGCUAGUUGGUAAGGUAACGGCUUAUGAGGGAAAGUAUGCGUAGCCGACCUGAGAGGGUGAUCGGCCACACUGGAACUGAGACACGGUCCAGACUCCUACGGGAGGCAGCAGUAGGGAAUCUUCCGCAAUGGGCGAAAGCCUGACGGAGCAACGCCGCGUGAGUGAUGAAGGUCUUCGGAUCGUAAAACUCUGUUAUUAAGGAAGAACAAAUGUGUAAGUAACUAUGCACGUCUUGACGGUACCUAAUCAGAAAGCCCCGGCUCCCUACGUC